UUGGAGGUAGAGGAAGGCGGGCGGGCAGGGCACGGAGUGCGGGAGCAUGCUGCCGGAGUUGGACAGCAGGAGGCAGCCCGAGUUCGCCAUGGAGCACAGCAUGGGGCGGCAGGGGGGCGCCCGGCGGCGGCUCUGCGCUCGCUGCGUCCCUCGGAGUGUGCGCGCGCCCUGCCUCCCGGGCGCCCUCCCGGUCUCUCUCCUCCUCCUCCUCUGGGCCUCCCCUCCCCCUCGUGGCGCUCUUUAAGAGGGAGGCAUCGAAAGGAGAGCGGCGCGCCUCUGCCCGGUGUUCCCCCUGCCCGGGCGGGGAGGCUGGAGAGAGCGCGCGCGAGAAUACGGCCAGAGAGUCUGUGCGCGAGAGAUCGGGCGAGCGGGCGAGAGCAGGAGUCAGUCACUUUGGAGCCUCCGGAGCCCUGUCUGCAAAGAGUGACACACUGGACUUGACGUGUUUCGCUCCCACGGGACAGGCGUGCAUAGGUCCCCACCUCCUUGCCCCAUUCAGCAUGUGGCAGAGGUCUCGGCAGUGCCCCUUGUUCCACCACUGUGACUGUGCACACACCUGCAGCUUCAGCGGCCACACACACACCCACUGGCCUGCCCCGAGUCCACACUCACCAGAGGCCCCGUGGAUCAGUCUCAGUUUACCAGGAUAAGCCACAGGACACGUGGCCUGAGGGCCAUUGAGGAAGAGGGAACAAGGAAGGGAGGGAGAGAAGGGUGGCCUCUCCACGCCCAGUUUAGGAGGCUCCAUUUGAACAAGGCAGAAGCCAUCCCUCUUUUGUCUUCUCUGGGCACCUGUCCGUCACCACUGCCCUGCUGCACCUUCCCUGGAGGAUGCUCAGGAAUUCGGGACAGCCACAUAGCAUUCAGCCGAAACCCAGGCUCCAGAUCCACCCUGCCUGUGAAUCAUUUGCUCAUUAAUUUGCCAUUAUGACCAUUAUGACCAAGUAUCUCCUGUGGAAUCCAAGCCUCAUCCCCUCCAGAAAGGGAUUUGGGAGUGCUUCCUAAGCCAUGCCUGACACAGAGCCACUUUUUGAGUCAACGCUACUGUUUUUCCUUAUUGAGAACCCACUAUAUGCAGACAGUGUGCUCGGUGCUGGGGCUGCAGAAAUCAAGUUCUCUGCCCUGGAGUGAGCACACCGUCUAGUGGGGGAAACCAAGCUUGUAAACGAAGACUGCAGCCUAAUGUACUGAGAGCUUUGACAGCCCAGGACAGGGAGAGCUCAGAUCUGGGGUGUGGCCAGGGAAGGUUUCCUGGACCCCUGAGCUCAGUCAUUGGCCCAAAGAAAGCCAGGGUGGUCCCCACUAUCUGCAUCUGCAUCACUUCUGGCAGCCCUGCAUCUGGUCACCUGUGUGCCUCUCUGCCCAGCCACCUGCCUUCCAGCCUCACCUCCAGAUUGCACUGGGCCCAGGAGCAUGUCUGGACACCUGCCUCCAUCAGGCGGCUCAUCACACCCAGCUCCAGAGAGAGAGGACUGAGAAUAGCAGAAUGGAAUGAAAAUAAUACCUCCAGAAAAAGGAUCUGAACGUGUGUGUUUGGCUUAUUUCUUGGGACAGGGGCUGUUACGCUGUGCUUCAGCACGAGCCAGUUAGCGAACAGCACGCACCUCAGUGCUCCGCUGUGAUCGUUUCAGAGUGUCGCGCAGGCCUGACUCUGCGGACCCCACCGGCAGGAACCAUGCCCUCAUCACCUCCUACCUCCAGUACCUGGCACC
rnacentral:lncRNA from 1 species